rnacentral:rRNA from 1 species
CUUCGGCGAAGAGAGUACAGUGGCGAACGGGUGAGUUACGCGUGGGNUACCUGCCCCUGAAUNUGGAAUAGGGCGGCGAAAUGCGGACUAAUUCCGGAUACAGUCCCCUGAACCUUGGUUUUGGGGAUCNAAGGUGACCUCUUCAUGAAAGUUGCCGUUUANGGAGGGGCUCGCGUACCAUUAGCUUGUUGGUGGGGUAAUGGCCUACCAAGGCUACGAUGGUUAGCUGGUCUGAGAGGAUGAUCAGCCACAGUGGAACUGAGAGACGGUCCAGACUCCUACGGGAGGCAGCAGUGAGGAAUCUUGCGCAAUGGGGGAAACCUUGACGCAGCAACGCCGCGUGAGCGAAGAAGGCCUUCGGGUCGUAAAGCUCUGUCAAGCGGGAAAAAACGCUUCAGGUCAAUAGCCUGAUGAAUUGAUGGUACCGCUAAAGGAAGCACCGGCUAACUCCGUGCCAGCAGCCGCGGUAAUACGGAGGGUGCAAGCGUUGUUCGGAAUUACUGGGCGUAAAGGGCGUGCAGGCGGUUUGGCAAGUCAGAUGUGAAAGCCCUGGGCUUAACCCAGGAAGUGCGUCUGAAACUGCCAUACUUGAGUAUGGGAGAGGAGAGUGGAAUUCCCAGUGUAGAGGUGAAAUUCGUAGAUAUUGGGAGGAACACCCGUGGCGAAGGCGGCUCUCUGGACCAAUACUGACGCUGAGACGCGAAAGCGUGGGGAGCAAACAGGAUUAGAUACCCUGGUA